GCUAGUAUAUGUCUUCCAUUCAUUUUUUUUUAGUCGUAAAACGAUCCAUUUGCCUACAUUCGGUUUCCUUCGGCUAAUCUAAAGGAGUGCGUUUGCUUAUUUCUUUUUUUUUUGUUUAGUAUUCACUAGUAUUUAAGGUAUCAGUUUUGAAUCGACUUCAUAAGUAAAUAUAAUAAGUAUUCUCAUUAAUAUUCUUUACCGUUUUUUUUUCUGUAAGUAUUAUUCUUUGCUUCGAUGGAGAAAAUCAGGUUUUUGAAUGUAUUGUUUGAAAAUUUAGUCUGCGCUUCUUCUUCUUCUUCUUCUUAUUCUUCUUUUUAUUCAUUCCGACGCACUUAUUGCUUUUGGGAUAAAAAUAAUUUCGUUUCUUCGCUUUUUAGUUCUUCAUUAUUGUUCUCACAGUUUUGCAUUAUUUAACUUUUUUUAUGCUAAACAAUUGAAAGAAAAAUAGCAUAUUUAAAACGUAAUGUAAAAAACGAGAUCAAUGCAUUUGUGGAAGGGGCCUUUCAAACGGAACCAAUUCUAAAAUUUUCCUACAAUUUUUCCAUGUAAAAUUUGGCAGUUGAUCAAUUGUUCCACAACAUAAAAUAAACACAAAUCCUAGCCGAGUAAUUCGCUACCCUAUGUCAUAAAUAAAUAAAUAGGAAAUUAAAUAAAUAAAUAACGUUGAUCAAGCAAAGAACUCACAAAGCCUACUCGCUUUUCAAUAGGAUACCAACAAAGUGUCGCAGAGCAUCGCAGCUAUCACUGUUUUUCCUUUUUGUGUUCGCUAAAUAUUUCUAUCAAUAUUUAAAAAAUUUCCUAACCUCACUUCCGUCACUACACCGGUCGUCCUCUCCUACUAGCUUCUACUUUGGCAAGAGAUGUUCCUCUCCUCAAUUGAAAAGACUUGCAUUCACUACUAAGAAGAAAAAAAAAACCGUAUUUUUUUGUUUCUGUCGAACAUCCAAAAUAUCAAACAACAACAAGAUUCGUUUCCGCAUCGAGUUGGAAUUCAGCUUCCAAAGUUUGAAAAAAAAAUGCUCAUCUAAAAAAUUUCUGUUUUUGUUUUUAAUCGCAAAUUUCGAUUUCAAUCAAGUUUCGUUUUUUUUUUUUUUGUUCUGAUAAUUAUUGUCCGCAUCCAAUGGAAGGAGGAAGGGUUGUUGUUCGGGAUCAACGUUUGAAACAAAUGGGACUGACUACGGGCUACUGGUUCGAACAGGCAAAGGUUUCGGCACCUACUGUAAAAAAAAGGAUUCCAAAAAAAUAGAGACGAUUUGGAAUGAUGGACAUUUCCUCUGAUAAAUAAAAAAACAGGAUUAUCUAUCUUUUAGCGCUGCUGGAAAUCUAGAAAGCUUGUCAAGACUGCGGCCAGUUUGACGUUUUCGAAAUUCUCGGUGCAGUACUGGAUUGGAUGGAUUGAAGGUAAAAUUUAUUGCGGGUUAUGCGUUGGAAACUGAGACUGGACUUUUGUCUUAGUCCAAGACUAAAUUUCGUUGGAAUUUAAAACCGAAUUCCAUUCGUAUCUGGGGGUGGAUUUUAUUGUACUACAUGACUGAAUUCUGUAGAUAUUCAAAGGUAAAUUCCGUUGAAAUUCACGACUGAAUUUCUUUGGAAGCCAAAGCUGUGGAUUCCGUUCGAAUGCAAGGUUGUAUUCCAUUUGGAUCUUAGACUGGAUCCCAUUCAAAUCCUUGGCUGGAUUCCAUUUAGAUUCUAGGCUGGAUUCCAUUCGGAUCCUAGGCUGGAUUCCAUUCGGAUCCUAAACUGGAUUCCAUUUGUAUCCUAGGUUGGAUUCCGUUCGGUUCCUAGGCUGGAUUCCAUUCAAAUCCUAGGAAAGAUUCCAUUUGGAUUUUAGGCUGGAUUACAUUAGGAGUCAAGGCCGGAUUCUAGUGGAAUACAAGGCUGGAAUCAAUAAGAAUCCACGGCUGGAUUUGAUUGAAAUUCAAGGCUGAAUUCCAAUGGAAUCAAAAACUAGACUUCAUUAUGAUUCAAGGCUGGAUUAUAUUGGAAUCCAAUGCUGGAUUUCGAAGGAUUCCUUAGCUAAAUUCCGUAGAAAUCCAUAACUUUUUCCCUUCAAUUCAAGAGAGAAUUUCGUUUGAAGCAAAGGCCAGAUUCUACUGCAAUCCAAGGCUGGAUUCCGAUAGAAUCCAAAGCUGGAUUACAGUGGAAACCAAGGCUGAGUUUCGAUGACAUUCGGUUAAGGAUUUCGUAGGAAUACAAAUCAUGAUUUCAUUGGAAUCCAAGACUGGAUUUACAUAAAUUCAAGAUUAGAUUACAUUGGAAUUGGUAACUAGAUUCUGAUGCAAUCCUAAACCGACUUCCGUUGCUAUCCUAUAUUGGAUUCAAUUGGUUUUCAAGGUUAGAUUCCAAUGGAAUUAUAAACUGUAUCCCGUCAAAAUUCAAAGCUGAAAUCCGUAAGACUGGAUUCCGUAAGAAUGUAAGGCAGAAUACCGUUUGAACUCAUUAGAAUCUUAGGCUGGAUUCCGCUGAAAACGAAGGCUAAAUUCCGUUGAAACCCAAGGCUGGAUUUCGAUGGAACCCUGUUAGGGAUUUCGAAGGAAACUAAAACUUAAUUCCAUAGGAAUUCAUGAUUCAAUUCCUUUGGAAUCCGUUGGAAAUCAAAGCUAGAUUCCGCUGGAAUUUAAGACAAAAUUUACAUCGAAAUCCAAUGCUGGAUUCCGGUUUUUAAUUACUAGACUUGAUUCUGUUGUAACCCUUGUUUAUGUUCAUAAGAAAACCAAUACUGCAUUCCAUUGGAUAGAUUAGUAAGGAGUCCAAAGUUGUGUUCCAUUGCAAUUCAAGGCUGGGAUCACUAAGGUUGGAAUGCAUUGGAAUCCAAGGCUGGAUUCCAGAAGAAUGCAAAGCUGGAUUCCAUUGAAAUUCAUUUAAAUCUAAGACUGGAUUCCUUUGAAAUCCAAGGCAGAAUUCCGUUGCAAUCAACAUCACGAAUUCAAUGGAAUUCCAUUGUAAUCAAAAAAAAAAGUUUUUUUUUUGAAUAAAAGACUGAAUUUUGUUGGAAUCCUUGACCCAAUUCCGUUGGAACCGUAUCCACUGAAAUCCAUUAAUUAAUUCCAUUGCUGGAUUUCAUUGGAAUCCAAUGCUGGAGUUAAUUGGAAUCCAAGGUUGGAUUCCAUUGAAAUCCAAUACUGGAGUCCAUUGGAAUCCAAGGCUUGAAUUCAUUUGAAUCCGAUAGUGGAUUUCAUUAGAAUAUAAGGCUGAAUUCCAUUGGAAUCGAGAACUGAAUCCCAUUAGUAUACAGAACUGAAUUCCAUUGGACUCCAGAACUGAAUUCCAAUGGAAUCUGAAUCUGCAUUCUUUUGGAAUUCAAAACUGUAUUCUAAUGGCUUUCUAGACUGAAUUCCAUCUACUCCAUGACUAGCUUCCAUUGGCAUUCAAAGCUAUAUUCCAUUAGAAUCCAAGGCUGGGUUUCAUUUAAAACCAAGACUGGAUUUCCAUAGGAUUCUUGUAAAGAUUUCAUAAGGGUAUACGGCAGAAUUAUUUUAAAAUAUCAGGCUGUGUUCCACUGAAAUCCAGAAAGAUAUCCAUUGGAAUCUAAAUCUGCAUUCUAUUGAAAUACAUAACUGUAUUCCGUUGGUAUCCUAGGCUAAAUUCCACUGGAAUCCAUGACUAGAUCCCAUUUGAAUCCACAACUAGAUACCUUUAGAAUCCAUGACUGGAUUCCAUCAGAAUUCAAGGCUGGAUUCCAUCAGAAUUCAAGGCUGGAUUCCAUCAGAAUUCAAGGUUGGAUUCAUUUGAAAUCCAAUGCUGGAGUCCAUUGGAAUCCAAGGCUGGAUUUCAUUUGGAUCUGAUAGUGGAUUUCAUUAGAAUAUAAGGCUGCAUUCCAUUGGAAUCCAGAACUGAAUCCCAUUGGAAUACAGAACUGAAUUCCAUUGGAUUCCAGAACGGUUUUUCCAUUGGGAACUAAAUCUGUAUUCUCUUCCGAUGGCUUUCUAGGCUGAAUUCCGUUGGAAGUUAAGGCUGAACUCCACUGAAACCCAUGCCUAGAUUCGAUUGAAAUCCAUGACAAGAUUCCAUUGGGAUUCAAAGUUAUUUUCCAUUUGAUUCCAAGGCUGAAUUUCAUUUGGAUUUCCAUUUUAUUCUAGUAGUGGAUUUCAUAGGAGUAUAAGGCAGAAUUAUUUUGGAAUAUCAGGCUGAAUUCCAUUGGAAUCCAUGACUAGAUUCCAUUUGAAUCCAAAACUGGAUUCCAUCAGAAUCCAAGGCUGGAUUCCAUCAGAUGCCAAGGCUGGAUUGCAUCAGAUUCCAAGGCUAGAUUCCAUUAAAAUCCACAGCUAGAUUCCAUCAGAAUUCAACGUUGGAUUCCACCAGAAUCCAAGGCUGGAUUCUAUCAGAAUCCAAUAUUGCAUUCAGAAUCUAAUGCUGGAUUCUAUCAGAAUCCAAUGCUGGAUUCCAUCAGAAUCCAAUGCUGGAUUUCAACAGAAUCCAAGGUUGGAUUUCAACAGAAUCUAAGGCUGGAUUCCAUCAGAAACCAAAAUAGGAUUCCAUCAUAAUCCAAGGCUGGAUCCCAUCAGAAUCCAUGGCUGGAUUCCACAAGAAUCCAAGGCUGGAUUCCAUCAGAAUUCAAGGCUAGAUUCCAUCAUGAUAAUCCAAGGCUGGAUUCCGUCAGAAAAUAAGGCUAGAUUCCAUAGGAAGGUUAGAUUCCAUCAGAAUCCAAGGCUGGAUUCCAUCUGAAUCCAAGGCUGGAUAUCAUCAGAAUCCAAGGCUGGAUUCCAUCAGAAUCCAAGGCUGGGUUUCAUCAGAAUCCAACGCUGAAUUCCAUCAUAAUCCUAGGUUGUAUUCCAUCAGAAUCCAAGACUGGACUACAUCAGAAUGCAAUGUUGGAUUUCAUCAGAAUCGAAGGCUUGAUUCCAUCAGAGUUCAAGGCUGGAUUCCAUCAGAAUCCAAGGCUGGAUUCCAUCAGAAUCCAAGGCUGGGUUUCAUGAGAAUACAAUGCUUGAUUCCAUCAGAAUCCAAGGCUAGAUUCCAUCAGAAUCCAAGCGGGAUUUCAUCAGAAUCCAACGCUGAAAUCCAUCAUAAUCCUAGGUUUCUAUUCCAUCAGAAUCCAAGACUGGACUAUAUCAGAAUCCAAUGUUGGAUUUCAUCAGAAUCGAAGGCUGGAUUCCAUCAGAAUUCAAGGCUGGAUUCCAUCAGAAUCCAAGGCUAGAUUCCAUCAGAAUCGAAGGCUGGAUUCGAUCAUAAUUCAAGGCUUGAUUCCAUCAGAAUCCAAAGAUGGAUUCCAUCAGAAUCCAAGGCUGGAUUAUAUCAGAAUCCAAGGCUGGGUUUCAUCAGAAUGCAAUGCUCGAUUCCAUCAGAAUCCAAGGAUGAAUUUAAUCAGAAUCCAAGGCUGGAUUCCAUCAGAACCAAAGCUGGAUGUCAUUGUAAUGCAAGGUUGGUUUCUGUUGGAAUCCAACUGGAUUUAAGCAUUUUAGGGAAAAAUAGUGAUGGAAUCCCAGACACAAUUCUAUAGCGAUUCAAGAAUUAAAGUAAUUGGCGCUGAAGUUUUGUGUUGAAAUUCAUGCUACCAAUCAAUCGAUCACCACAGUGGAUGGAGUUCUUCACGCUGAUCAAAC